AUUCCAUCUUGUUAUAGGUGGGCUUAUACGAGAAGCAUUGUGGUAUGGUAACUGACUACGCCAUGAAGCGCGUAGCAUCCUUUGCAAAGAUUUGCAGUCACUUGCCCCAGGGUGUAGCUGUGGAGGUGGAGGAAGCAUUUAAGGUUGCAUGCAGCACCCAGAUAAACAUACCAUAUGACAUGGGGAUUUGAGCUGCAUGAAUUGGUGGAUAUGGGAUCUAGCCUUUUAAUAUUAAAAUUAGAACUUUUGUUUGGUUGUGAUAUGAACUUUUUUGGGACACCGUAAGCGACUAGUUGUCUGUGCAGGGUGUUUUGGAUGUAUUAGGUUAGUUUGGAUUCAUAAAGUUUGAUGGUUGAAAUAAUAAGUACCUAGCUAGUAAGAUUAUGUGUGUAAUGCAUAAAAGAGUAUUAUAGGUUUGUUAUCAUUUAUUAUAGUUAUGCCGGUUUGCAUCAA